AUAAAUAAAAUCUCUCCCUCAUUUUUUUUUUUGAGACAGUGUCCUACCAAGCUACUGAGGUUGACCUCCAGUCUGCAGUUUCCUGCUUCAGUGUCCCAGGUCACUAGGAUUAUGGGUGUGUGCUACUGAGCUUGGCUUCCCCUCAUUCUUUGUGGCCAGAACUGGUAAAAUAUCUGUCUUUCAAGCAACAUUUCGCAAGUGAGAUGGAGACAGCAGGGACUUGAAGACAUGCUGAUGGACUAGAUGCAGAGCAUGAGAAGAAAUGGAGAAUCAAGGAUAACCUAGAUUUCCGACUUAAGCAACUGGAUGGCAGGUAGCUGGACAGAAGUGUUUUUUUUCCCCUCCCUAAAUUGUGCAUGUACAUGGGUGCAUGUAUAGGGGAAGACUAGGAUUUUGGGGUGAAAUCAAGAGUUCUGUUUUGUAUCCAAGAAAUCCAUAAGACAUCUAGGUGGAGAUGUCAGACAGCAGUUGGAUAUUUAUAUUGGGAAUGAAAAGAUGAGGUAAAAAUGUACACAUAAUCAGCAAAACGAUGGUAUGUGAAUCCAUGUAGUAGAUGAGUUGGUCAUGGGGGAGUGGAUGAGAAUUGGCAGAGAGAGGACCACAGCCAGGCUCUGCGGAGCUUCAACACCUAAACUCUGGGGUAGGAGGAGGAGCUGUCAAAGGGAAACCCAGUAAGGUUAGAGGCAGGGGAAAGGCAGAAAAUCUUGUUGGCAGGGAAGACACUGG
rnacentral:lncRNA from 1 species